rnacentral:rRNA from 1 species
UACGUAGGGGGCAAGCGUUGUCCGGAUUUAUUGGGCGUAAAGAGCGUGUAGGCGGCCAGGUAGGUCUGCUGUGAAAACUCGAGGCUCAACCUCGAGACGUCGGCGGAAACCAUCUGGCUAGAGUCCGGAAGAGGAGAGUGGAAUUCCUGGUGUAGCGGUGAAAUGCGCAGAUAUCAGGAAGAACACCCGUGGCGAAGGCGGCUUCCUGGACCGACACUGACGCUGAGGCGCGAAAGCUAGGGGAGCAAACGGG